CAAUAGCGUAUAUUUAAGUUGUUGCAGUUAAAAAGCUCGUAGUUGGAUUUCGGGUGUCAUCUGUCGGUCCGCCGUUUCGGUGUGCACUGACGGGUCUCAUCUUUCUGUCGAGGACGCGCUCCUGUCCUUCACUGGUCGGGACGCGGAGUCGGCGAUGUUACUUUGAAAAAAUUAGAGUGUUCAAAGCGGGCUUACGCUUGAAUAUUUCAGCAUGGAAUAACACUAUAGGACUCCUGUCCUAUUUCGUUGGUCUCGGGACGGGAGUAAUGAUUAAGAGGAACAGUUGGGGGCAUUCGUAUUUCAUUGUCAGAGGUGAAAUUCUUGGAUUUAUGAAAGACGAACUUCUGCGAAAGCAUUUGCCAAGGAUGUUUUCAUUAA
rnacentral:rRNA from 1 species